AAUAACCCUAUUUUUCAGUUUUUUGAUACAAUGUUUUGACUCUUCGUCUUAUUUGAAAUUUUUUUGCGAUUAAUAUUUUUUUACCAGAUAAUAAAACAUGAAUAGUAUUUUAUGCGUGUCUAAUUUUUUUAAACUUUUUGUACAAAUUUUUUAAAUAAACGAAAGGUCAAACGUUGGAUACGGAAAA
rnacentral:pre_miRNA from 1 species